rnacentral:rRNA from 1 species
AGAGUUUGAUCAUGGCUCAGAACGAACGUUGGCGGCGUGGUGUAGGCAUGCAAGUCGAGCGAGAAAGCGCCUUCGGGUGUGAGUAAAGCGGCGAAAGGGUGAGUAAUAUAUAGACAAUCUACCCUCGAGUUCGGAAUAACCUCCCUAACGGGUGGCUGAUACUGGAUGGUGUCACGAAGUCGCAUGGCUUUGUGGCUAAAGGUGGGAUACUACCGCUUGAGGAGGGGUCUAUGUCCUAUUAGCUUGUUGGUGGGGUAACGGCCCACCAAGGCGAUGAUGGGUAGCCGGACUGAGAGGUUGGCCGGUCACACUGGGACUGAGACACUGCCCAGACUCCUACGGGAGGCUGCAGUCGAGAAUCUUCCGCAAUGGACGAAAGUCUGACGGAGCAACGCCGCGUGGGGGAUGAAGGCCUUCGGGUUGUAAACUCCUGUCAGGGGUUAUGAAAUUCAGGGUGGUUAAUACCCAUCUUGUUUGACAAAGGCCCCAGAGGAAGCACUGGCUAACUACGUGCCAGCAGCCGCGGUAAUACGUAGAGUGCAAACGUUGUUCGGAAUUACUGGGCAUAAAGAGCUCGUAGGCGGCGCGGUAAGUCGGUUGUGAAAGCCCCUGGCUCAACCAGGGAACUGCAGCCGAUACUGCCGUGCUCGAGUGUGGGAGGGGAGUGUGGAACUUUCAGUGGAGCGGUGAAAUGCGUAGAUAUUGGAAGGAACGCCGGUGGCGAAAGCGACACUCUGGCCCACUACUGACGCUGAGGAGCGAAAGCUAGGGUAGCGAACGGGAUUAGAUACCCCGGUAGUCCUAGCCGUAAACGAUGGGCACUAAGUGGAGGGAAUCCUACCUUUCUCUCUUCUGAAGCUAAUGUAUUAAGUGCCCCGCCUGGG